GUGACCCAGUAGGUAUUGUGUCCUUUCCCAUUCUGUUAAACAAGUCAAAAUUCUAAAAAAUACUGUAUUAUCUUGACCUCAUUUGUAAAUAAAAACACUCCCAACAUUCUACCACUGCAACAAUGCAUCAAAUUGAAAUUGAGCUAGGAAGGUGUCUGAUGGGAAGUGAAGGAGAGGUUAAGGAAGGCAAGACAAGUUCAUCAGGAUUCCAAUAUUUUCUGCUUCUGCAUGAUUGAGAGUUACUCCAAUUAAGGUGCUUUUCAUCUUCAGAGUCUUUUACAAACAGUCAUUAAUUACAGCUACGCAUGUAGUCAGGAGUAAAGAGAACAUCUCUCUGAUUUCAUAGCAUGAAGAUGGAAAUACCAGCAAUUUAUGUCUCUUCUUGCUCACAGCCUACAGUUGUUGGUCCAGAAAGGAAACACAAGCACUUCAAUAAGAGCAGCUGCUUUCACACCCAGAUAUUUCCUUAAUUUUAUCACUCGUGCAGGGAAAGCCAGCUUCCAUGCCUUGAAAACACUAAGGCAGCCCUGACGAGAGACAUAUAUAACAAGGGAUGGAGACACCCCUCCACCCCCUCCCCACCCAGCCAGCAGCCAGUAUCCAAUUCAUGCCUUCCUGAUAUGAAGCAGCCAGAUACGUGUGGACUUCUGUGCUUCUUCAAUUCUCUCCAGAGUUGAAAAGUUUCUUUUACUGCCCUGUGAAAGUCAGUUAGUGCCCCUGAAAGUUUCUAUAAACAUUUCUAUUUUUCUUGGUCCUUCAGACUUGAUAACUGCCUCAAUUAUUGUUACAAAAGCAACUAACUUAAUUUACUCAAAGUGGAGAGCAAUCUCUAUUUAUGAAUUGUU